GUUUGAUCCUGGCUCAGGAUGAACGCUGGCGGCGUGCCUAAUACAUGCAAGUUGUGCGGUAACAGAGAGAGCUUGCUCUCUGCUGACGAGUGGCGGACGGCAGAGUAACGCGUAGGAACAUACCCCAAACUGAGGGAUAACUGCUCGAAAGAGUAGCUAAUACCGCAUGUGGUCUUCGGAUUAAAGCUUCGGCGGUUUGGGAGUGGCCUGCGUCCGAUUAGCUAGUUGGUGAGGUAAUUGCUCACCAAGGCGACGAUCGGUAGCUGGUCUGAGAGGAUGAUCAGCCUGACUGGAACUGAGAACGGUCCAGACUCCUACGGGAGGCAGCAGUAGGGAAUUUUCCACAAUGGGCGAAAGCCUGAUGGAGCAACGCCGCGUGCAGGAUGAAUGCCUUCGGGUUGUAAACUGCUUUCUGUGUGAAGAAUAUGACGGUAACACAGGAAUAAGGGUCGGCUAACUACGUG
rnacentral:rRNA from 1 species